rnacentral:tRNA from 1 species
AGCGGGAUGGAGCAGUUGGUAGCUCGCUUGGCUCAUAACCAAGAGGUCGCCGGUUCGAGUCCGGUUCUCCGCCA